rnacentral:tRNA from 2 species
GCGCCCAUAGCCCAAUUGGAUAGAGCGAACGGCUACGAACCGUUAGGCUGCAGGUUCAAAUCCUGCUGGGCGCA